rnacentral:rRNA from 1 species
UCGAUGAGACGCGAGGACCCUUACCUGGGCUAGAAUGCAAUUUGACCGUGGGUGAAAGCUCAUUUUGUAGCAAUACACAGAUUGUAAGGUGCUGCAUGGCUGUCGUCAGCUCGUGCCGCGAGGUGUUGGGUUAAGUCCCGCAACGAGCGCAACCCCUAUCACUAGUUGCCAUCAGGUAAUGCUGGGAACUCUAGUGAAACUGCCGCCGUAAGGCGUGAGAAAGGAGGGGAUGAUGUCAAGUCAUCAUGGCCUUUAUGCCCAGGGCUACACACGUGCUACAAUGGCGGGUACAAAGGGUUGCUACCUGGUAACAGGAUGCUAAUCUCAAAAAACCCGUCUCAGUUCGAAUUGAGGUCUGCAACUCGACCUCAUGAAGCUGGAAUCGCUAGUAAUCGUAUAUCAGCAAUGAUACGGUGAAUACGUUCCCGGGCCUUGUACACACCGCCGGAAUUCCAAUCACUAGUGAAUUCGCGGCCGCCUGCAGGUCGACCAUAUGGGAGAGCUCCCAACGCGUUGGAUGGGAUAGCUUGAGAAUAUAUAGUGAGUUGUAAAAAGUAGAGUACNACAGUCAAAACACC